rnacentral:lncRNA from 1 species
GGGAACAAAGAGAAAAAGAGAAGAACAAACCCUUGGAAAGAAAAAUUCAAGAGAAAUUGUUGGAUUUCAAGAAAUCAAGCAAGUAAAGGUAAGAUUUUUUAAUUUUAGCUUGUGAUCUACCUUUCCCAUGCAUUCUUUUUCAUUCUCCAUGGCUGAAAUUCAAGUUUUCAAGAGGGAACCUUUGCUGGCCAAAUCUAGAGAGAGAAGUUUUGGUGAUGAAUUUUGCUAGAUUUCAUAAUAUCCUAGUGUUUUUAGUCAUUUUGUGAUGUUUGGAAGGAAAAACAAGCAAGAAAAUCACAUGUUCUUCAACCACCCUCAUUUGGCCGAAUUUUCCAUAGGGUAUGUUGAUGAUGGAUUUGGUUGUAAAUCAUGUUAUUUAGCUAGGAAUUGAUGAUUUAUGGUAUCGGAUAUCGAAAUCGGAAUGAAUUUCGAUUAUGGUGAAUUAAGUCAUAAUUAAGCUUAUUGAGGUACUUUAGUGUAUUUGGAAUAUUGGUAGUGUAAUGAAGAUAUUUGGAGUUGAAUUGGAUGUUUUGGCUAAUUAAACAAGGCAUAGUGCGAGUUAGGUCGAAUGCCAAUUCAGUCCGAUCAUAAUUGAACCCAUGUAGAACACCGUCUUUAAGUGAUUAUUUGGUCAAUUCUCAUUCAAUGUCAUGCAUUCAUAUAGAGCUUGAAAUAGUUUUAUAACAGUUUGGCACAAAUAUAUUGAAUUACGUGUCGUGUAUUAUGUAUUGGUGGUGAGCCCUCUGAUAAGGGUAAAGAUAUUGUACCUGAGGACCAAGAAUAAGAGUACCCCAAACUCCUACUAUUGUGAGUAAUCAAAUAUUCAUCUUAAUUAUCUAAAGUGGUUUAUACUUGUUUUAAGAUUUUAAAGAAUAAGGCACUUAAUUUUUAAAUUAUUAUGUUUUACAUUUUAAACGUUGGUUAAUGAAUGAGAUUUAUAAAUUAUUCUGAAACUAAAUGUUGAUUUUCGAAAUAGAGUAAGUGGAGGCUAUACAUUCGUAUUAUAUAUAUAUACAUGAUUUGAAUUGAUGGCUUAUGAAAUUGUGGUAGCAUGAAUGGCUGAAAAUUGUGGUUUUGUGAAUUAUAUAAAUUGUUUUGUCUUACAUUGACAGGUUGGAUAGUACUAUAUUAGCCAUGUUAUGCUGCCAAAUUUUUAUUGAUUUGGUGGGUUAUGUAUUUAGCUUACUGCAGUGAGCAGGUUUCCGUGGACCAACCUAUUAGAGGGGUACAGUAAACCCCGUUAUAUUUUACCUUAGUAUGAGAGGCACAGAGGGUAUCUCCUAAGGUAAGUUUAGAGUUCACUUCACAUCGAACCACCACGUGAGAAUGAAACUCAGCCAACGUCAAGGAAUGACUAUAUUUUAAAAGUAAAAACAUGUUUUAUGGGUAUAUGUCGUUUUAACAUCCUUGGCGGACUCGGUUGGAUGCCCGGGCCAAGGUGUCCCUGAGUAUAAGUUUUGGCACAAACCAAGUUUUUAAGAGAAUCAUAAGCCUUGUUGAUUAUUUUGAUGAAACGUAAUUGUUUUAUAUGAAUUGAAAUGAG